UACGUAGGGUGCGAGCGUUGUCCGGAAUUAUUGGGCGUAAAGAGCUCGUAGGCGGUGUGUCGCGUCGGCCGUGAAAACCUGGGGCUCAACUCUGGGCGUGCGGUCGAUACGGGCAUCACUUGAGUUCGGCAGGGGAGACUGGAACUCCUGGUGUAGCGGUGAAAUGCGCAGAUAUCAGGAGGAACACCGGUGGCGAAGGCGGGUCUCUGGGCCGAAACUGACGCUGAGGAGCGAAAGCGUGGGGAGCAAACAGG
rnacentral:rRNA from 1 species